rnacentral:rRNA from 1 species
CAGGUGCUGCAUGGCUGUCGUCAGCUCGUGCCGUGAGGUGUUGGGUUAAGUCCUGCAACGAGCGCAACCCCUAUUGCCAGUUGCUACCAGGUAAUGCUGGGCACUCUGGUGAGACUGCCCCGGUUAACGGGGAGGAAGGUGGGGACGACGUCAAGUCAUCAUGGCCCUUACGCCUAGGGCUACACACGUACUACAAUGGCGCAUACAAAGGGCAGCGAUACCGCGAGGUGGAGCCAAUCCCAAAAAGUGCGUCCCAGUCCGGAUUGCAGUCUGCAACUCGACUGCAUGAAGUUGGAAUCGCUAGUAAUUCGAGAUCAGCAUGCUCGGGUGAAUGCGUUCCCGGGCCUU